GAGACACUGUUAAUGGGGUAGGACUUGCUUCAGUGGGGCUUUGGUGCUCACUGAGUCUGCCUCUUGAGUGUGUCCCU
rnacentral:pre_miRNA from 1 species